rnacentral:snoRNA from 24 species
GAAUCAAUAAUGCACGGAAACAAUGCCACAGUUGGCUGAACCUGUCUUCUAACAGUAGCUAAUUGCCAGUGUUUCAAAUAUAAUUGAAAUACCAGUUUCCCAGAUUAACAUAAUCAUUAUAUUUUGGACAGGAUAGGAAGUCCGAUGUCUGUGUACCUUCAUUAAAUGGAGGGGAUAGACAUGGGAUGUCGAAGAUAGUCUACAUUU